rnacentral:rRNA from 1 species
CUUGAGUGAAGUAGAGGUAAGCGGAAUUCCUAGUGUAGCGGUGAAAUGCGUAGAUAUUAGGAGGAACAUCAGUGGCGAAGGCGGCUUACUGGGCUUUAACUGACGCUGAGGCUCGAAAGCGUGGGGAGCAAACAGGAUUAGAUACCCUGGUAGUCCACGCCGUAAACGAUGAUUACUAGGUGUGGGGGGACUGACCCCUUCCGUGCCGCAGCAAACGCAAUAAGUAAUCCACCUGGGGAGUACGACCGCAAGGUUGAAACUCAAAGGAAUUGACGGGGGCCCGCACAAGCAGUGGAGUAUGUGGAUUAAUUCGAAGCAACGCGAAGAACCUUACCAGGUCUUGACAUCGUAUGCAUAGCUCAGAGAUGAGUGAAAUCUCUUCGGAGACAUAUAGACAGGUGGUGCAUGGUUGUCGUCAGCUCGUGUCGUGAGAUGUUGGGUUAAGUCCCGCAACGAGCGCAACCCUUACUGUUAGUUGCUACGCAAGAGCACUCUAGCAGGACUGCCGUUGACAAAACGGAGGAAGGUGGGGAUGACGUCAAAUCAUCAUGCCCCUUAUGACCUGGGCCUCACACGUACUACAAUGGCUGUCAACAGAGGGAAGCAAAGCCGCGAGGUGGAGCAAACCCCUAAAAGCAGUCUUAGUUCGGAUUGUAGGCUGCAACCCGCCUACAUGAAGUCGGAAUUGCUAGUAAUCGCAGAUCAGCAUGCUGCGGUGAAUACGUUCCCGGGCCUUGUACACACCGCCCGUCACGCCAUGGGAGUCGGUAACACCCGAAGCCUGUAGUCUAACCGCAAGGAGGACGCAGUCGAAGGUGGGAUUGAUGACUGGGGUGAAGUCGUAACAAGGUAGCCGUAUCGGAAGGUGCGGCUG